rnacentral:rRNA from 1 species
CCUACGGGCGGCAGCAGUGGGGAAUAUUGGACAAUGGGCGAAAGCCUGAUCCAGCCAUGCCGCGUGUGUGAAGAAGGCCUUCGGGUUGUAAAGCACUUUCAGUGGGGAAGAAAGCCUUGGGGCUAAUACCCUCGAGGAAGGACAUCACCCACAGAAGAAGCACCGGCUAACUCCGUGCCAGCAGCCGCGGUAAUACGGAGGGUGCGAGCGUUAAUCGGAAUUACUGGGCGUAAGGCGCGCGUAGGCGGUCUGAUAAGCCGGUUGUGAAAGCCCCGGGCUCAACCUGGGAACGGCAUCCGGAACUGUCAGGCUAGAGUGCAGGAGAGGAAGGUAGAAUUCCCGGUGUAGCGGUGAAAUGCGUAGAGAUCGGGAGGAAUACCAGUGGCGAAGGCGGCCUUCUGGACUGACACUGACGCUGAGGUGCGAAAGCGUGGGUAGCAAACAGGAUUAGAUACCCUUGUAGUC